rnacentral:rRNA from 1 species
GGCUUUUUGAUAAUAAUUUAAGGUCAGGCCUGCCCAAUGAGUGUUUAAAUGGCCGCAGUAUACUGACUGUGCGAAGGUAGCAUAAUCACUAGUUUUUUAAUUGAAAGCUUGAAUGAAAGGUUAAAUGAAAGAAUUUCUGUCUCUAUUUAAAUUUAUUAGAAGUUUAUUUUUAAGUAAAAAAGCUUAAAUGGAUGUUGAAGACGAGAAGACCCUAUAGAGUUUUAUAUUUAAAAUAUAAUUGAGGGUUUAAGUAUUUUUAGUUAAUUUAUUUUAAAUAUUUGGUUGGGGUGAUUUAAAAAUUUAAUUAACUUUUUAGUUAGAAAACAUUUAUUUAUGAUAAAUUGAUCCUCUGGAGAGAUUAUAAGAUAAAAUUACCUUAGGGAUAACAGCGUAAUUUUUCUUAGAGUUCUUAUCGAAAGAAAAGGUUGCGACCUCGAUGUUGGAUUAAAAUGAAUUAUUGGUGUAGAAGCUAAUAAAAUUAGGUCUGUUCGACCUUUAAAAUUUUACAUGAUCUGAGUUUAGACCGGCGUGAG